AUCGGCACGGGCGAUGGAGCCGCGCCCGUCAGAUUGACGGGCGGUCUCGGUUUUCAGUAUAAAUCCCCCAUGGCCUUUGCCAUACGUGAUGGGAAUGGGGGGGUUCUCCCGAAACUGCCAGCAAUUGGCUGAUGACUCCUGCUUGAAU
rnacentral:ncRNA from 18 species